rnacentral:rRNA from 1 species
UACAUGUGGGGCAAGCGUUUUUCGGAAUUACUGGGCGUAAAGGGUGCGUAGGCGGCUUGUUAAGUCAGUGGUGAAAGUUUUCGGCCCAACCGGAAAAUUGCCUUUGAUACUGGCGAGCUCGAGUGCGUGAGGGGUAACCGGAACGAGCAGUGUAGCGGUGAAAUGCGUAGAUAUUGCUCGGAAGGCCAACGGCGAAGGCAGGUUACUGGUACGCAACUGACGCUGAGGCACGAAAGCGUGGGGAGCAAACAGG